CACGUAGGGGGCGAGCGUUGUCCGGAUUUAUUGGGCGUAAAGAGCUCGUAGGCGGCUUAGUAAGUCAGGUGUGAAACCUCCAGGCUCAACCUGGAGACGCCACCUGAUACUGCUGUGGCUAGAGUCCGGUAGGGGAGCAGGGAACUCCUGGUGUAGCGGUGAAAUGCGCAGAUAUCAGGAAGAACACCAGCGGCGAAGGCGCUGCUCUGGGCCGGAACUGACGCUGAGGAGCGAAAGCGUUGGGAGCAAACAGG
rnacentral:rRNA from 1 species